CCCUGGCCAUUCUGUGAUUCUGUGUCCUGUUUUGAAAGAAAGCAAACUAAUGGGAAGAGACCAUCAGUGUGUUCAGAAAAGGCACAGAAGUAUCCAGAUAUGAGCCAUGAGGGCAGUGACAACUGCAUACCUGCAAGCUGCCUUAGUGAAAAACACUCUGAAGUGACUUGACACGGAACAAAUGUGAUGAACCAACAUAGCAGAGACCUAUUAUGAGCUGCAGCAUUCUCUUAUAAUUUCAUAGAUAGAUGGAUGGAGGAAGGUACAUUUGUCUCAGAAGAGAGCAUGAAGCAGAACUGUUAACUUCAGGUGCCGAUGAUGCUAUUUUUAUUGAGAAAGGCUCUACUCCAGUUCCCCGUUCCUCUUUUACAGAGGGAGGCCUCAGUGCUGCCAAACAACUCUGCACUUACAGUUUAAGCCUUGAUGUGUUUCUGAUGGGGAUGUUCAGCUUUGUUUAUUUUAAAAUGCACUGCAAAAGCACAAAAGCCAUUCGCUUCUUACUGAAGUGUUGCAAUGCUUGUGCAAUACUGGAGCCCUCCUAAAUCACACUAAUUGCCUUUAGAACUAUGUCUUCCAUAAGGGAUACAUUGCUUCUUAGUUCAGACUUGGCUCUUGUAAGCUAAUAGUUGGCAAUGAAGCUGAAGUUGUAAGUUACACAAGUAAUAUGAUAGUAUCAGCCCAGAUUACCUCUAUUCUGACACAGCUAAAUCAUUCUAUGAUUCUAUGUAGUUCACUUUAAAGUGCUGCUGUAGAGGGUAAUGGCAAAGGAAUGCAGAGUGCACUCUGCUUCAACUACCAUAGGCAGAUAGGGACCUUCCUUCCUCAUGGUGCAUGCACGCUUCAGGUGUGUUUGGCACUUACUUGGUGCCGGUAUCAGGGAAAAGACAUAGACAGUCUGUGCAAGUUCUGUCAUUUCAGUAUUCUGUUCAUUAUUCUGUGUGCCUGUUGAAAUCAAUAAUGCUAAACAGGAUUGGAGAAAAAUACGUGAAAAGCUAACGUGAAAUGACUGAAUGACAGAGCAGUGCUGCUCUAGAAGACAAAUUAAAGGGAACAUCAUGGUUAAACUGCAUUUUAUUUCUUUGCACUGUGUGUGCUCAGGUAGCAGCACAUGAACACCUGUGAGCUGCAUUCUUUCUGACUCCAUCAGACACUUCAUAUGCAUGAAUGUUGGCACGGCUGACAUGUCACCACUGCUCUUGAUGCUGCGAAGUAGACCUGAGGUACAUUCAGUGAAAGGAGAGGAUGAGAUCAUAAACACGAGAGGGAAGUAGUUCCAGCUCUCCUGCUGUAUCUACUGGUUGAGACAUUUUUUUCAGGCUUGAUUUAAAGAUGCAUCUGCUAUGUCUUCGUUGUUUAACUCUAAAUGCCCCCAGAAGCAAGCAAAAUACAAGAAGAGGAAGCUUCUUCAGCAGAGUCUUCUGAGAUGGGAUGAAACUGUAGGCAGUCAAAGAAACCACAGAGAAGUUUUCAUCUCGAAGAGCUCAACAGAAAUCUAUUAAAAUGAGUUAAGUGUACCCCAACCUUCAUGUUACAUGGGUUGGUCUUUGGGGAAAUGAGGUACUGCAUGGUUUUCUUAAUUGCAGCCAGCAUCAGCAGUUUCACUGUUGGUGACUGUUGGUCAUUUGGGGUAGAAGGGUGAAUCUUGUUUUGCCAUGACAAGGCGCAGUUGGACACCUUUUUCCCAAAACAGAUUAAAGUCAAUUUGUCCAAGAACAAAUCAAGACAAUAGGAAAACUAUGAUGUAAAGUUUAUAUACAAGAAUAUAACAUUUAUCUGGAGUAUUUACAAGGUUAAUUAAAGCAAUAUUUUACAACUCUCUCAGGUUAACCACUAGGUAUGUUACAGUUAGGCUACAGAUGGUUUAAUUUGCAAAAUAAGAAGAAAAAAGUUGCAUUCAGAUAAACCAGUUCCAAAACCUUUUUGUUUUUUGUUUUUGUUUUUUCUCCUAAGAAAAGGGCUCAGUCUUGUGGAAAACAAAACUUGAGAAUGGCUAAUAUACCCUUAUUGGUGCCUAUGUAUCACAUGCAAGAGUUGUAACAUGACCUUUAUAAUUUUAAUAUAGAUGGCAAGCCAUUUCACCUCAGUGAAAGAGUCGUACCCCUUGUGGCGGGCCAGGUGCACACAUCUGUCUUCCCGUCUCCUACUUUUGCACAACAAACACGCAUGUAUACAGAGAGGCAGCAAUUAAAUGAACCGGCAUUACCAAAACGAAGAGGGAAAAGCCUCAGGGAAGAGUCACAUUUGCAACCAUUUAGAACAAACAAACAAACAAAAAAAAACAACUGUUAAGUGAGAUAGUUUAAUACUUCCCCAAAAUAGUCAUGAUAUAUAUAUUUUUAUUACAUUUAACCUAUGUACAGAAACGGAGGGCUCUCCCCAUCUCGGAGAUUGGUUGCUGUGUCUCCUGGCCAGGGCAUCUCAAGGCGCAGAGAGGCUGAAGAAAGAAGGCUGGGGAGGUCUGGAGAGCUUGGGACAGAGGAGGCCGCUGGAAGCCAACACAGCCAAAGCCACUAACACUGCAGUUUGCGGAUGCUGCGGGAGAACCGCUUGAAAGCCCGCUGCCCUUUCUGCCACCGCUUCAGCGAGGUGAUCACCAGUUCCCCAGCUUGCUUUUGCCCCAUCACCAAGUAGGGGACGUUGAUGUCGUUCAUCUCGUCACAGGUACACUGGAGGCCACCUUUCAGCCAGAGCACGAUCUUUCUCAGAUCUCUUUCGGUCAGCCCAUUCAGCUUGUAGAUGGUCUUGCUCUUUGUUUCAGGGGUGAUCUUGGUAUCCCCAUUGAUGUAGGCAAUCUCCUUCACUUUUAUCUUCAAGGCUAAUAGAGCAAGGGGAGGAGGGAGGGGGGUGAGAGGGAGAGAGAUUAAGAGUUUUUUUCCCAUUAGUGCACAUAAAGAGGACCUGGGGAGGGAGGUGCUCUAUUGCUAAUUAAACUGUCAGGGCUGACAGAGGAGGCAGCAGGUGGCUCCAUUUCUAAAGCCAGAAAGGGCAUGCAAGUCAUUUCAGUUUGAAUCAACCUUAGGGCUGAGGGUUUUGGGGUUUCUUUUCUCCUCUUUCCCCUCCCCCUCUUUUUCCUUCCUUCCUACAUUAAUAUUUUCUUCAGCUUUUCUCCUGUUUGCAAACAGAGGGAGGGCAGCUUUGCUAUGUUAAGCAGCACUCCAGUUUUUGCUGGGAUGGGAUGUAUUCCUGAAACCCUAGAAUAUGAAGGGGUGGUGGGGAGGUGAAUACCUAAACCUAAUCUGAAACCUGAUCUCUACUGCAGCUGAAAAGUUCUAAGCUUAAUUUAUUAGGCUGGAGAGGAUUUUAGGCAAACCUGCAAGGAAAUGAUAUUUCACAUACAUUGUUGUUUCUUUGAAAGAAUAGAUCCCAUAGAGGGCAAAUUGGUCCAACAGCUGCAUUUGAUUUGGUGAAAAAAAAAUGAGGAGGGGGAUACAAGACGCUUUAAGAAUCUGUGGGGCACAUUUAGCUUUAGGAGGAUUUAUCUGAGUGCAGUUUGCCAGGCCAAAGCUAUUGGUUGUUUUAGCAGUUAUGUCCUGCAAUCAGAAUUCCACAGGUUGUGGGGUUUUUUUGUUCGUUUGUUUUGUUGUUGUUAUUGUUCAUUUUAAGAGACGCUUUUGAAUUCUUGCAGAUAUUUCUAGUACAGAUCUGUUUCCAGGUAUAUAAAUAAAUGCAAAUUAUUUAGUUAUUAUAAAAUCUUUAUAUAUAUAUAAAUACUGCCCUGUUAUGAUUCCCCUCCUCAUUCCCCUUUUCUCUUGAAAUGCUAAUAUGCAGAUAAUGUACCCUUCUGCUGCCUGUGUUGAACGGGCUUUCUCAUCCUCUUCUAACCCCAGAUCUUCACAUUAAGUUUACAUCCCCAAUUUUCUGUGCAUUACGUUCUCUGUCAGAUAUUACAUAGAGCUUCAUUCUUAAUCUGUGGAGAAAGUCUUUCUUACUAUAUGCCAUGCAGCUCUUUCUCAUAUGUCUAUGUGAAGCUUUGUUGUACUUCUCCCCAGGCAAUAGUCCAGAUGAAAGAUUCCUUUUUUCACUAUUUUCUAUUCGGCUUGGUUGCAGUGUCCACAUAAAAGAGUACUACUUUGAAACAGCACACAGGAAAGGACUAUAAAAGAGCUGAUUUUUUCUCAGAGAUGCAAUUUUGUGUUUCAUGACCAGAAUGGUCAGAUGCAACAGGAUGGACAAGUCCAUCUGCAGAUGAGACAAAGCCCUGCCUUUAUUCAGGCAUGUCUCUCUGACUCCACUGGGAGUUUUACCUGCUCCUAAUCCCUCAAGUUUUAAUCAAGGGGCUCUGCUGCCACUUACCAAAGUCAUUUUUGCAGAGGUUUUCCAUGAUGUCAUUAUCGUCCUCAUUUUUGUUCUUGCACGCAUCACAGACUUUGGGUGCUAGAAAUACAAGGGACAGUCCUUGUCAGGCUCAAGGAGAAAGGAACAGCAGGUGGCGUUGGGAACCCUUCGGGGAAACACGACUUUUCCAGCUGGACAGCCUGACCGUGCGCCUUCUCCCUUUCCCUCACUUUGGUCACAAGCCACUGGAGGAGAGCACACAAGGUGCUCUUAGGGUCACGCUAAACCAACCUUUUUCUUUCUUACUUUUUUU